rnacentral:misc_RNA from 1 species
GAUGAAGAACGCAGCGAAAUGCGAUAAGUAGUGUGAAUUGCAGAAUUCAGUGAAUCAUCGAAUCUUUGAACGCACAUUGCGCCCGCUGGUAUUCCGGCGGGCAUGCCUGUUCGAGCGUCAUUUCAACCCUCAAGCUCUCCGGAGUUUGGUGUUGGGGCGCCUGGGGCUUUUCGACCUCAGGGCCCUCAAGUCCAUCGGCGGGACCGCCAGGACACUGAGCGCAGUAGUAUUAUUUCGCUCGGUAGGAUCUUCCACGGCGGGUCGAUCUGGCCGCUAAACCCCCCAAUUCUCACCAAAGGUUGACCUCGGAUCAGGUAGGAAUACCCGCUGAACUUAAGCAUAUCAUAAGCGGAGGA